GCCUGGGUGUAUGUACGCCAUUUUUCGUAAUGAGGGGGUCGGGGGUUCGAAUCCCUCAAGCGGCACCA
rnacentral:tRNA from 1 species